CCUACGGGUGGCAGCAGUGAGGAAUAUUGGUCAAUGGCCGGGAGGCUGAACCAGCCAAGUCGCGUGAGGGAAGACGGCCCUACGGGUUGUAAACCUCUUUUGUCAGGGAGCAAAGUGCAGGUCGGGACCUGCUGUGAGAGUACCUGACGAAGAAGCAUCGGCUAACUCCGUGCCAGCAGCCGCGGUAAUACGGAGGAUGCGAGCGUUAUCCGGUGUUAUUGGGGUGAAGGGGUGCGGAGGCGGAGGACAGAGUGAGCGGGAAAAACGCGGGGCUCAACCCCGAUCCGCCGUUGAAACUGUGUCCCUUGAGUGCGAGAAGGGUAGGCGGAAUGCGUGGUGGAGCGGUGAAAUGCAUAGAUAUCACGGAGAACUCCGAUCGCGAAGGCAGCCUACCGGCGCGCAACUGACGGUCAGGCACGAAAGCGUGGGGAUCGAACAGGAUUAGAUACCCUUGUAGUC
rnacentral:rRNA from 1 species